UGUUGAUUGCUGAUCUAAGGAGGCUGAUCCAAGCCAGCAGGGUUUUGCCCACUUGAAGUUGUGUAAUUUGGUUUGGUAUGUCUAUAUUGUUUUUCUUUUCUGUGUUAUUAUGUUUUCACCACCAGAACAUCAGUUACCUGCAUGAGCUGCUCCACUACACUGAGCCAGAACACCCUGGACCUUGAUUCAGGAUGUGGAAAUUGCUGACAUAGAAUGGAAGUGGGAAUUCAUUUCAACUCAUGUCAGUGGAAUGGAAGGAGAAUAAGUGCUCCGUUACUGGAAAAAAGCAACUGUAAACUGGUGGCCAACAUUGUGGAUACACUG